UACGGAGGGGGCUAGCGGUGUUCGGAAUUACUGGGCGUAAAGCGCACGUAGGCGGACUGUUAAGUCGGGGGUGAAAUCCCGGGGCUCAACCCCGGAACUGCCUUCGAUACUGGCAGUCUAGAGGAAGGUAGAGGCUAGUGGAAUGGCGAGUGUAGAGGUGAAAUUCGUAGAUAUUCGCCGGAACACCAGUGGCGAAGGCGACUGGCUGGACCUUUUCUGACGCUGAGGUGCGAAAGCGUGGGGAGCAAACAGG
rnacentral:rRNA from 1 species